rnacentral:snRNA from 1 species
GUGCUCGCUUCAACAGCACAUAUGAUACAGAGAAGAUUAGCAUGGCCCCUGCUUAAGGAUGACACGCAAUUUGUGAAGUGUUCCAUAUUUCA